AAAUACCAUGCGUAUUUACCAUUGCCGGGGAGCAAUGGUAGAAAUUGUGGUUCAAUCACGCGAGUGAGAGCAACCCUUCAUCGCUGGUCGUUCCGAGCAGCGCCCUUGUAAUGUGUAUCUGAAAUCAAGUGUGACUACCCGCUGAACUUAAGCAUAUCAAUAAGCGGAGGAAAAGAAAUCAAACGAGAUUUCCCUAGUAACUGCGAGUGAACAGGAA
rnacentral:misc_RNA from 1 species